rnacentral:lncRNA from 1 species
GGAAGAUGAAGGGGAGGCAGGGACCCCGAGGAAGUCCACUUUACCUAGACUGUAUGCACUUCCUAUAAUUAGGGAGCAUUCCUGGAAUGUGCAAAGUGGCUUCUUGGGAAAGUGACCCUGACAGGCCACCCUCUCAUGUUAGGUACUUCAACUACUACUUUAUAGAUUAUGAAACAAAUAAUUUGCUCACACCUCACUGCUGAUAGUGUUAGAGCAGAUAAGAAACCAGAGUCUGGCUCAAAAGCUCUUCUUCUUAGAACACCCUGACGAGAAGGCAGUUUGGUGGUAGCGGUAGGGCUGAGUCACUGGGUUGCUGGAAUAUUCUCUGAGACCUUCACUUAGGGAGAGACUGUUCAGAUGCUAAUCAUGGAUAUGGGAGAGGCACUUGCUGAGUGCCUUAUGCGUAUGCACUGUGUACUGUGUUCUCCUUUUUGUCUUCCUUAAUGCUAAGGCUGACUUGGGCACAACAGUGGAGAUGUACUCAACACAGCACCUUGACAGAAUGGAGAGACACCAAGAUAAAGAAGCCACAUUUUGGGCAGGUGGGAAGUGAUCUCAGUCCUUAAGUGUCUGGAGAUUAUUGCUGUAUUUCCACAAGUACCUUAUUUAAAAACAUCUGGUCAUAUAUAGGUCUGGGGUGAGGCGGUUGGUGCUUGAGGAAGAAUCACCUAUGAAGGUGGUUACCAACUUCUUAACUUUCUUAAAUAAUGUUGUAUGAGUUACCUGUGAAGUCCUGGCACCCAUGACUUUAUCUUCUACUCAGUAUAGGCAGAACUUUUCAAGAAAUCCUCUCCCAUACUUUCUUUUCAUUGAAUCCAUAUUUUCAUCUUUAGAAGUGCUGGGCUACCUCCUUUCUUUCCCACCAAGAGGAUAUAUUAUAUUGCUG